rnacentral:misc_RNA from 1 species
GCAGCGGCUAUAAUUCCUUCAUCAGCCUCAAUACCCGGGAGGGGCUUGGUGUUGGUAGUGACCGUGACGAUGCUCCCACCGGCGCUCGUCGGCUCAACCUUGAAGUGGGCGGAGGCAGACUCCAGCCUCGUCCCCAAGUGUCCGCCUUCGAUGAUGGUGGACUGGCAUUCAAACUUCUCGUGGUCGACAAAGUCCAAGCGUUCCUUCACGUAACUGAAUGGCAUCACUGAGGUGAAGUUGAGUUGCCUGACGCUCCCGGCGCCACCAUCACCACUUUCUCCGGUGC